GAUGAACGCUGGCGGCGUGCCUAAUACAUGCAAGUCGAGCGAACAGACGAGGAGCUUGCUCCUCUGAUGUUAGCGGCGGACGGGUGAGUAACACGUGGAUAACCUACCUAUAAGACUGGGAUAACUUCGGGAAACCGGAGCUAAUACCGGAUAAUAUUUUGAACCGCAUGGUUCAAUAGUGAAAGACGGUCUUGCUGUCACUUAUAGAUGGAUCCGCGCUGCAUUAGCUAGUUGGUAAGGUAACGGCUUACCAAGGCAACGAUGCGUAGCCGACCUGAGAGGGUGAUCGGCCACACUGGAACUGAGACACGGUCCAGACUCCUACGGGAGGCAGCAGUAGGGAAUCUUCCGCAAUGGGCGAAAGCCUGACGGAGCAACGCCGCGUGAGUGAUGAAGGUCUUCGGAUCGUAAAACUCUGUUAUUAGGGAAGAACAAAUGUGUAAGUAACUGUGCACAUCUUGACGGUACCUAAUCAGAAAGCCACGGCUAACUACGUG
rnacentral:rRNA from 1 species